AAACAGCAGCAGGCAUAUAACAAUUUUACAAAUGCUGUUAUAUGGACGGAGCUGUUAUACACAACAAAAACACUGUAGCACAGAAUUAAAGCGGCUCUGAUUUUCAAGAAUUAUAUUGCAUGAGUGUGUGUGUGUGUGUGUGUGUGUGUGUGUAAUACAAUCAAAUAUGUAUACGAUUAUGUCUUAAUUUAGAAAGAGAAGUAAAGCAAAGUUUCGGGCAAUGCCUGAGAUUUUGUCAUCUAACAACAACAAUACGCACAGGCACUGCAUAUGACUAUGAAUA